UUAAGUGAACAAGGGCAUACGGCGGAUGCCUUGGCGCCAAGAGCCGAUGAAGGACGCGGUAAGCUGCGAAAAGGCAUGGGUAGGAGCAAGCAUCCUGUGAUCCAUGCAUAUCCGAAUGGGGCAACCCACCAUCAGUCAUGUGAUGGUACGAAAGAGGCAGACCUGGGGAACUGAAACAUCUAAGUACCCAGAGGAAAAGUAAUCAAUUGAGAUUCCCUAAGUAGCGGCGAGCGAAAGGGGAAGAGCCCAAACCAUGAAACUUCGGUUUUGUGGGGUUGAGGACCGGCAAAAAGAGGAAACUUCUUAGUCGAAUGGUUUGGAAAGGCCAUGCACAGAAGGUAAAACACCUGUAGGCGAAAAGAAGUCAAUCGGGCUGGUAUCCAGAGUACUGCGAGACACGUGAAACCUUGCAGGAAGCAGGGGGGACCACCCUCCAAGGCAAAAUACUACUUGGCGACCGAUAGCGCAUAGUACCGUGAGGGAAAGGUGAAAAGAACCCCGGGAGGGGAGUGAAAUAGAACCUGAAACCGUAUGUCUACAAGCAGUCGAAGCACCUUAAGAGUGCGACGGCGUGCCUAUUGAAGAAUGAACCGGCGAGUUACAUUAUGUUGCGAGGUUAAGUGGGAGACACGGAGCCGAAGCGAAAGCGAGUCUUAAUAGGGCGACUAGUAACAUGGUGUAGACCCGAAACCGCAGUGAUCUAUCCAUGGUCAGGUUGAAGCGCAGGUAAAAAUGCGUGGAGGACCGAACCCGUGAGUGUUGAAAAACUUUGGGAUGAACCGUGGAUAGGGGUGAAAUGCCAAUCGAACGCGGAGAUAGCUGGUACUCCCCGAAAUAGCUUUAGGGCUAGCCUCAGGGAAGAUUAUAGACGGUAGAGCACUGAUCUGGCAAGGGGGCGUAAAGCCUACCGACCCUAGUCAAACUUCGAAUGGCUAUAAUUAAGACCCUGGGAGUCAGACUGCGAGUGAUAAGACCCGUAGUCAAGAGGGAAACAGCCCAGACCGCCGACUAAGGUCCCCAAUGCUGUACUAAGUGGAAAAGGAUGUAAGACUUCAUAAACAACCAGGAUGUUGGCUUAGAAGCAGCCACCAUUAAAAGAGUGCGUAAUAGCUCACUGGUCGAGAGGCCUUGCGCCGAAGAUGUCCGGGGCUCAAGUACAGAACCGAAGUCGCGGCAGGAUUUAUAAUUCUGGGUAGGGGAGCGUUGUAUAUCCGACUGAAGGUGUACCGGAAGGAGCGCUGGAGGAUAUACAAGAGAGAAUGCCGGUAUGAGUAGCGAAAAGAACAGUGAGAAUCUGUUCCACCGAAAGCCUAAGGUUUCCUGAGCAACGCUCGUCGACUCAGGGUAAGUCGGGACCUAAGCCGAGGCAAAAAGCAUAGGCGAUGGACAACAGGUUAAUAUUCCUGUACCGCUUCAAAUCGUUUGAGCAAUGGAGUGACACAGAAGGUAGCUUGAGCACGCGAAUGGAUGUGCGUGUCGAAGGUGGUAGAUUGCAGUAUAGGCAAAUCCGUACUGUAUAAGAUCGAGAACUGAUAGAUAGACGAUACUUCGGUAAAGUCAAAUUCAAGUGAGCCAUGCUGUCGAGAAAAGCUUCUAGUGAGAGAUGAGGCGCCCGUACCGAAACCGACACAGGUAGGCGGGGAGAGAAUCCUAAGGUGCGCGGGACAACCCUCGUUAAGGAACUCGGCAAAUUGUAUCCGUAACUUAGGGAUAAGGAUAGCCGGAGGAUGUGAAGGGAUUUACUUCUGGAGCGUCAGCCGGUGGCACAAGAGAGGCCCAAGCGACUGUUUAGCACAAACACAGGUGCCUGCAAAAGAGAAAUCUGACGUAUAGGUGCUGACACCUGCCCGGUGCUGGAAGGUUAAGAGGAGGGCUUAGAGGCAACUCGAAGGCUUGAAUUGAAGCCCCAGUAAACGGCGGCCGUAACUAUAACGGUCCUAAGGUAGCGAAAUUCCUUGUCGGGUAAGUUC
rnacentral:rRNA from 1 species